UGGGCUUGACAUGCACGGGAAAGCCGAUGUUUCCACCGGCUUUCCCGUGCAUGUCAAGCCCAGGUAAGGUUCUUCGCGUUGCUUCGAAUUAAACCACAUGCUCCACCGCUUGUGCGGGCCCCCGUCAAUUCCUUUGAGUUUCAGCCUUGCGGCCGUACUCCCCAGGCGGGGCACUUACUGCGUUAGCGACGGCACCGGGAGGGUCGCUCCCCCCGACGCCUAGUGCCCAUCGUUUACGGCGUGGACUAC
rnacentral:misc_RNA from 1 species